rnacentral:rRNA from 1 species
UACGUAGGGUGCGAACGUUGUUCGGAAUCACUGGGCUUAAAGGGCGCGUAGGCGGGUGUCCAAGUCAGGGGUGAAAUCCUCCAGCUUAACUGGAGAACUGCCUGUGAUACUGGACGUCUGGAGUGAGGUAGGGGCAUGUGGAACUUCCGGUGGAGCGGUGAAAUGCGUAGAUAUCGGGAGGAACACCAGUGGCGAAGGCGGCUUCCUGGCCUGUUCUUGACGCUGAGGCGCGAAAGCUAGGGGAGCAAACGGGG